GACGAACGCUGGCGGCGUGCUUAACACAUGCAAGUCGAACGGAAAGGCCCUGCUUUUGUGGGGUGCUCGAGUGGCGAACGGGUGAGUAACACGUGAGUAACCUGCCCUUGACUUUGGGAUAACUUCAGGAAACUGGGGCUAAUACCGGAUAGGAGCUCCUGCUGCAUGGUGGGGGUUGGAAAGUUUCGGCGGUUGGGGAUGGACUCGCGGCUUAUCAGCUUGUUGGUGGGGUAGUGGCUUACCAAGGCUUUGACGGGUAGCCGGCCUGAGAGGGUGACCGGCCACAUUGGGACUGAGAUACGGCCCAGACUCCUACGGGAGGCAGCAGUGGGGAAUAUUGCACAAUGGGCGGAAGCCUGAUGCAGCAACGCCGCGUUCGGGAUGACGGCCUUCGGGCUGUAAACCGCUUUCGCCUGUGACGAAGCGUGAGUGACGGUAAUGGGUAUAGAAGCACCGGCUAACUACGUG
rnacentral:rRNA from 1 species